UACAGAGGGUGCAAGCGUUAAUCGGAAUUACUGGGCGUAAAGCGCACGUAGUCGGCCUUGCAAGUCGGGUGUGAAAUCCCCGGGCUCAACCUGGGAACUGCAUCCGAGACUGCAUUGCUAGAGUAUGGGAGAGGGAAGCGGAAUUUCUGGUGUAGCAGUGAAAUGCGUAGAUAUCAGAAGGAACAUCAGUGGCGAAGGCGGCUUCCUGGACCAAUACUGACGAUCAGGUGCGAAAGCGUGGGGAGCAAACAGG
rnacentral:rRNA from 1 species